rnacentral:lncRNA from 1 species
GCAACAGGCAGGCUUCUGAACUAAACACACACCUGAUUUGGUUAUCUAGCUUGAGAGAAACUUCUGCCAUCCAGUUGGGUAAACGAAUGAGCUUUUGAGAGAAUGAACUAGUAUGUGAACAGAAGUGAACGCAAGCAGCCUUGGCUUCUGCAGACCACCACCAACUAGGGCUGCCAGGCAGGGAUGGUGACUAUUCUCAACAGACUGCAAAAUCCACAGUGAAUGUCAAAUUCCUUCCAAAGGAAAGGAUUGAUUCUGUUAUUGAGGCAUGCUUUGUAAACGUGCCCUGCUUCUUUAAACACAAAGAACAACAUGGCAAAUCGGACUGAGGGAGAGGCUUGCUGAGCCAAGCAAUGGAGCAGAUCAAACCAUCUGCAGCACUAGGCUCAACGUAGGGAGACAUAAGCAGUUCUGAUGUGAGAAAAGGGAAGAGGCUAAAGAGGAAAGUGACACACAAUGGGAGAAGGACCCAACCCUGCCCCUUGUCUUUGAAGAGGAUGGAAGGGGCCAUGAACCAGGAAUGAUUAAACAUUUGAAGCAGAGUCAUGUGAGUUUCUACUCCACAGGCUAUUUAAGGAAGGACAGGAAAAUGUGCUAAUGGAUAGGAAUGUGAGCCAUCUUAUUUUGGAAGCAAAUGAGAAAUGAAGUGCAGCCUCGCCCCACUCUUCACCCAUCUUCCCUCUCCUCCCAAGGCCUCCAGCAUGGCCUUGGAUCAGUGCAGAAGGGCCCAUCACAGAACCAAAGCAAACAUAAACCAACUCAGAGGGCCUUUCCAUGCCUCAGUGUUCACAAAUGAGAGAGAGUCAACUAUUACAUAAACGUACAUCAAAAAUCCACAAUUCUAGCAUUUGAAAUCUCGAUAUUUUCCUAUGUGACCCCUUUACAAAAAUCUUCAGGGGUACACACCAAGCACAGGGAGGUUGUGAUAAAGAGAGCUAAGUCAUGGGCCUUGUGGCAAGAAGAUCUGCUGCUCCGAUGGGAACCCCCUGGCCCCACCAUGCAGGAGGCAGGUCAUCACCUUAUAUUCAGUCUUUGCAUUAGAAAAUGAAGCAGCAUUGUUCACUAUGAGCAGGAACAACAGCUGCAGUGGAGUCUGGACACAGGGACAGAAAUGCCCGCUUCAGAACCAGGCAGAAACCUCACUUGGAGACACAUCCAGAGGAAUGCAAGGUACACUUGAUGUAUUCCUAGAGCCGGGGGUGGGGAGAUAGCAGGCAUAAUUUCCAAUAUUUGUGCACAUUUCCAAAAUAUAAAUUUUAUGUCUCCAUGAGGUGUUCCCUGUGUGCUGUGCACCAUCAAUACCACACUGAUUGGAAGGACAUUUAAUACCACCAGGGAGAUAAAUCUUCUGACUUUCCUACAAACCUUUGAGUCCUGGACUCUUAAUCAGUUCAGUAUUCGUGGUACCAAAGAAUUUGCCAGCUGUGUCUCUACACCUGAACUUGAAGCACUGAUGUGUGCAUGACAUGACCAAGGCCAUUCAGAAGAAUGAAGGUGAUCCUCCAGGAGCAGCACAUAGCUGGUCUACUGGGACUCACUCCAUGUGUAGAACUAUCUGACAUCCUCAUGAAUAUAUGUCUCUCUCAGGUCAAAAAUCUCUGAUGAUGGGGCCUGCAGAUCUUCCCUGGUACCAUGAAACUGACAAGAAGAAAAUAUGUGGCGACCUCGGUUGGCAGCUCUUUGGUGAUCUGACACAAACCAUGAGGAAGAUUUAAACUGUCUCUCAGUGAGGAACAGACUGCAUAUCCUCCAGGCUGUCCUCCAGGAAUGGCAUUGUCCACAACCGACCUUUCGAUGAGAAUUAGACAGGGCUGCAUUCCAAGUGUCUGCAAGGGCACAGAGUGCAGACAACCCAAUGACUAAUUAAUUAAGGAAAUAAUCUCUGUAGUAAAUGUGUUGAGGAUGUAGUCUGACCCAUGAUUCCAAGUAAAAUCUCAUUUUAAAAAAGACUUCUGAAAUUAAACAAAGCUAUAUUACAUUGUAUAUAGUAAGAUGCUGAGAAAAAAAGUUGGUUAACAAAA